UGACCGCGUAUGAAAGUACGUUUCACCUCGGGGGACAGGGUGACAGGUGGUGCAUGGUUGUCGUCAGCUCGUGUCGUGAGAUGUUGGGUUAAGUCCCGCAACGAGCGCAACCCUCGACCUUAGUUGCCAGCAUUCAGUUGGGCACUCUAAGGUGACUGCCGGCUAAAAGUCGGAGGAAGUGGGGAUGACGUCAAAUCAUCAUGCCCCUUAUGACCUGGGCUACACACGUGCUACAAUGGGCGGUACAAAGGGUCGCGAACCCGCGAGGGGGAGCCAAUCCCAAAAAGCCGCUCUCAGUUCGGAUUGCAGGCUGCAACUCGCCUGCAUGAAGCCGGAAUCGCUAGUAAUCGCGGAUCAGCAUGCCGCGGUGAAUACGUUCCCGGGCCUU
rnacentral:rRNA from 1 species